rnacentral:rRNA from 1 species
UACGGAGGGUGCGAGUGUUAUUCGGAAUCACUGGGCGUAAAGAGCACGUAGGCGGAUCGGUAAGUCAGAUGUGAAAUCCCGGAGCUCAACUCCGGAACUGCAUUUGAUACUGCCAGUCUUGAGUGAGGUAGAGGGGGGUGGAAUUCCCGGUGUAGAGGUGAAAUUCGUAGAUAUCGGGAGGAACACCAGAGGCGAAGGCGACCCCCUGGGCCUUUACUGACGCUGAGGUGCGAAAGCGUGGGGAGCAAACAGG